rnacentral:rRNA from 1 species
AUUGAACGCUGGCGGCAUGCUUUACACAUGCAAGUCGAGCGGUAGCACGCGGCAAUUUGCUGUCGAAUGUUGGACGGGGGCGUAAUGCAUCCAAACGUGCCCCGUCCUUGUGGAUAUCGACUCGCAAGGGUAGCUAAGAGCUCAUACGAGCUAUGAUUUAGAACGGGGUGGUUCAAGAGUGCACGCCGUUGUUGCUGCCACUUAUAGAUGAGUUCGUGCUGGAUUAGGUAGUUGGCAAGGUAACGGCUCACCAAGGCAACGAUGGGUAGCAGACCUGAGAGGACGACCGGCCACACUGGAACUGAGACACGGCCCAGACUCCUACGGGAGGCAGCAGUGGGGAAUUUUGGACAAUGGGCGAAAGCCUGAUGCAGCAACGCCGCGUGAAGGAAGAAGGCCUUCGGAUCGUAAAACGCUGUUGUAAGGGAAGAAACGAUUUUGGUUAAUACCCGCGGAUAAUGACGGUACCGAAAGAAUAAGCAACGGCUAACUACGUG